GAUAAACGCUGGCGGCGCACAUAAGACAUGCAAGUCGAACGGACUUAACCUAAAAGUUUACUUUUGGAGCGGUUAGUGGCGGACUGGUGAGUAACAUGUAAGCAAUCUGCCUAUCAGAGGGGAAUAACAGUGAGAAAUCAUUGCUAAUACCGCAUAAUGCAGUUGGGCCGCAUGGCUCUGACUGCCAAAGAUUUAUCGCUCUAAGAUGGCCUCGCGUCUGAUUAGCUAGUUGGUGGGGUAACGGCUCACCAAGGCGACGAUCAGUAGCCGGACUGAGAGGUUGGCCGGCCACAUUGGGACUGAGACACGGCCCAA
rnacentral:rRNA from 1 species